CACGUAGGCGGAUCAGAAAGUUAGGGGUGAAAUCCCGGGGCUCAACCCCGGAACUGCCUCUAAAACUCCUGGUCUUGAGUUCGAGAGAGGUGAGUGGAAUUCCGAGUGUAGAGGUGAAAUUCGUAGAUAUUCGGAGGAACACCAGUGGCGAAGGCGGCUCACUGGCUCGAUACUGACGCUGAGGUGCGAAAGUGUGGGGAGCAAACA
rnacentral:rRNA from 1 species